GCAUGGCUGAAUACUGUGUUCUUUUUAUCAGUAGUUUACACAGCCAGACACCAUGCAAAAGUAAAAAGUCUUUCUUUUAACAUGGCUAUGAUGGUAUGCUAAGUAUUCAUAGCAUAUCAUUAUUAAAAGUGGAUACAAAU